AUUGAACGCUGGCGGCAGGCCUAACACAUGCAAGUCGAGCGGAGCGGCGGACGGGUGAGUAAUUCAUAGGAAUCUACCUGGUAGUGGGGGAUAACGUCCGGAAACGGACGCUAAUACCGCAUACUAUCAGAUGAGCCUAGGUCGGAUUAGCUAGUUGGUGGGGUAAAGGCCUACUAAGGCGACGAUCCGUAACUGGUCUGAGAGGAUGAUAAGUCACACUGGAACUGAGAAACGGUCCAGACUCCUACGGGAGUCAGCAGUGGGGAAGAUUGGAAAAUGGGCGAAAGCCUGAUCCAGCCAUGCCGCGUGUAUGAAGAAGGGCUUCGGGUUGGAAAGCACUUGAAGUUGGGAGGCGUUACCAACAGAAGAAGCACCGGCUAACUCCGUGCCAGCAGCCGCGGUAAUAC
rnacentral:rRNA from 1 species